CUUAUACUCAUUCCGUCCGAAAAUACUUGUCAUCAAAAUGAAUAAAAGGUGAUGUAUCUCGAACUAAAAUAUGUCUAGAUACAUUCUCUUUUAUCCAUUUUGAUGAUAAAUAUUUCCGGACGGAGGGAGUACUUU
rfam:Triticum aestivum genome assembly, contig: Triticum_aestivum_CS42_TGACv1_scaffold_423180_5BS